GUGAGGAAUUUUCCGCAAUGGGCGAAAGCCUGACGGAGCAAUGCCGCGUGAAGGAUGAAGGCCUAUGGGUUGUAAACUUCUUUUCUCAGAAAAGAAUUAUGACGGUAUCUGAGGAAUAAGCAUCGGCUAACUCUGUGCCAGCAGCCGCGGCAAGACAGAGGAUGCAAGCGUUAUCCGGAAUGAUUGGGCGUAAAGCGUCUGUAGGUUGUUUAAAAAGUAUUCUGUCAAAGAUUAGGGCUUAACCCUAGAUAGGCAGAAUAAACUUUUAAGCUAGAGUUUGGUAGAGGCAGAGGGAAUUCCCGGUGGAGCGGUGAAAUGCGUAGAUAUCGGGAGGAACACCAAAGGCGAAGGCACUCUGCUGGGCCAAUACUAACACUGAGAGACGAAAGCGAGGGGAGCAAAUGGGAUUAGAUACCCCUGUAGUCC
rnacentral:rRNA from 1 species